UGGGGAAUUUUGGACAAUGGGGGCAACCCUGAUCCAGCCAUGCCGCGUGAAGGAUGAAGUAUUUCGGUAUGUAAACUUCGAAAGAAUAGGAAGAAUAAAUGACGGUACUAUUUAUAAGGUCCGGCUAACUACGUGCCAGCAGCCGCGGUAAUACGUAGGGACCAAGCGUUGUUCGGAUUUACUGGGCGUAAAGGGCGCGUAGGCGGCAUGACAAGUCACUUGUGAAAUCUCUGGGCUUAACCCAGAACGGCCAAGUGAUACUGUCGCGCUAGAGUGCAGAAGGGGCAAUUGGAAUUCUUGGUGUAGCGGUGAAAUGCGUAGAUAUCAAGAGGAACACCUGAGGUGAAGACGGGUUGCUGGGCUGACACUGACGCUGAGGCGCGAAAGCCAGGGGAGCAAACGGGAUUAGAUACCCCAGUAGUCCCUGAGCGGGCUGGCAAGGCGCAU
rnacentral:rRNA from 1 species